rnacentral:rRNA from 1 species
GUUAGGAAUAUUGGACAAUGGGCGAAAGCCUGAUCCAGCCAUGCCGCGUGAACGAUGAAGGCCUUCGGGUUGUAAAGUUCUUUAGCCGAUGAUUAUAAUGACUGUAGUCGGAAAAUAAGCCCCCGCUAACUUCGUGCCAGCAGCCGCGGUAAUACGAAGGGGGCGAGCGUUAGUCGGAAUCAAUGGGCGUAAAGCGUGCGUAGGCGGCUUUGCAAGUUGGGAGUGAAAGCCCAGGGCUCAACCCUGGAAUUGCUCUCAAAACUGCAAGGCUCGAAUUCGGGAGAGGAUAGCGGAAUUGUCAGUGUAGCAGGGAAAUGCGUAGAUAUUGACAGGAACACCAGUGGCGUAAGCGGCUAUCUGGACCGAUAUUGACGCUGAGGCACGAAAGCGUGGGGAUCAAACAGGAUUAGAAACCCUUGUAGUCC